rnacentral:rRNA from 1 species
AUUGAACGCUGGCGGCAGGCCUAACACAUGCAAGUCGAGCGGAUGAAGGGAGCUUGCUCCUGGAUUCAGCGGCGGACGGGUGAGUAAUGCCUAGGAAUCUGCCUGGUAGUGGGGGAUAACGUUCGGAAACGGGCGCUAAUACCGCAUACGUCCUGAGGGAGAAAGUGGGGGAUCUUCGGACCUCACGCUAUCAGAUGAGCCUAGGUCGGAUUAGCUAGUUGGUGGGGUAAAGGCCUACCAAGGCGACGAUCCGUAACUGGUCUGAGAGGAUGAUCAGUCACACUGGAACUGAGACACGGUCCAGACUCCUACGGGAGGCAGCAGUGGGGAAUAUUGGACAAUGGGCGAAAGCCUGAUCCAGCCAUGCCGCGUGUGUGAAGAAGGUCUUCGGAUUGUAAAGCACUUUAAGUUGGGAGGAAGGGCAGUAAGUUAAUACCUUGCGGUUUUGACGUUACCAACAGAAUAAGCACCGGCUAACUUCGUG